UUUCUUUGGGGGGUGGGGCGGGCAGAGCUAUCUUAGUUUCCUUAGGAUUUGCUUGUUUCUGUGUUUGUGUCUGUGUGAGCGUGUGGCAUGUAUGCGCCAGUGUCAGUGGGGAUUAGAGGAAAGUCUUGGCCCCCCUGGAACUAGAGUGGAAGCUAACUGUGGUCUGGGGAUUGAAGUCAGGUCCUCUGCAAGAGCAGCUGGUGCCCUCAUUUCUCCACAGCCCUGCAACCUGCUGUCUGUCAGCUUCUCUGUUGCCUCUGUGGCUUCACUGUUGCCUUUCUGAAACCCACAUAUAUAGGGUGUGCAAUGUGUGGUCUGAGAAUUAAUAUCACCUGUUAAGAUUGGAGUAAGGGGGGGGGCUGGGGAUUUAGCUCAGUGGUAGAGCGCUUACCUAGGAAGCGCAAGGCCCUGGGUUCGGUCCCCAGCUCUGAAAAAAAGAACCAAAAAAAAAAAAAAAAAAAAGAUUGGAGUAAGGAGUGGGCAUGGUGGCUCACACCCUGAAUCUAUAACUUCGGAGGUGAAUUUUGGUGAGCUCAAGGCCAGCCCAGGGCUACGUGGUGACUUCUAGGCCCUAUCUUUUUUUUUUUUUUUUCCUCUUUUUUUUUUUUCCGGGGCUGGGGACCGAACCCAGGGAUUUGCGCUUGCUAGGUAAGCGCUCUACCACUGAGCUAAAUCCCCAACCCCUUCUAGGCCCCAUCAAAAUGAAAAAUAAAAAAUAAAAAAAUUGGAAGAUGGGUGAAGAUGGCUCUAGGGGGAUAGGUGCUUGCCACCAAGCCUGGAGACCUGAGUUCAAUCCCAGGCGGGGAGAGAGAGGACUCACAAAAUCCAGACUCUGUGGCGUGUACAAUCAAGGAAAGCAGGAUUACAUGGAGAGACGCAAAGGUUCAUCUGUUUCAGACACAUACACCCUUGGCAGGCAGCACGCUCAAGGCUAACCUGGGCUACAUGAGAUCCCGUCUCAAAAAGAAAAGGGGGGCUGGAGAGCUGGCUCCAUGGUGGAACUCUAGAGAACCCGAGUCCCUAGAGCUCAUGCCAGGCAGCUCACGAGUGCCUGUAACUCCAGCUGCAGGGCAUGCCCCAGCCGUAGCGCACACAUGCGCUUACACACAUAUGAAAAUUAAAAUGAUGAAAAAAUCAAGCUUUAACAACAGAAAGGACAGGGCUGGAGAGAUGGCUCCAUGGUUAGAGCACUGACUACUCUUCCAGAGGUCCUGAGUUCAAAUCCCAGCAACCACAUGGUGGCUCACAACCAUUUGUAAUGGGAUCUGGUGUGUCUGAAGACAGCUACAGUGUACUCAUAUACAAAAAAUAAAUAAAUCUUUAAAACAAUAGAAAUGGCAAAUGAAAGUAUCCUCCAGGAUACAGCAGAGAAGAGUUUUUCAGAGAGAGAGAGAGAGAGAGAGAGAGAGAGAACUGUCACGGUGCUAAUGUGGGGUGAACCACAGGGACUGUAACCAUGGGGAACCCAUGUGUGGUUCCUGCCUCAACAAGUCGGGGAGGUUCUGGGAAGCGGACACCUGCCUCGGCGCACGCCGCCACCACUGGCUGUGCCCUCAGUGGACUGGGUCUACGCCAGGCAUUUACAAGCAUUGUCUAGUCUGUUUAUCUUGGAAAGUACCUCGAUGCCGGAUACUGCUCUCUAAAUUAGUGGUGUCACCGAGGCUCGUGACAGCCCUGUGUGGCCUCGAUACAUAUUAUCAUUGUCCUUAUUUAACAGAUGGGGGUGACCAAGACACGGGUGAUAAUUCAUAGACCUGACAGCCAACGGGGCUUGUUCCUCUGAACCGUGUUACCUUUUCAUGAUUUAACUCUCAUUUCUUUCUUUUUCAUUUCAUUUAUUUGUGUAUGUGUGUGUGUGACACAAGAACUUUCUGGGCUCUGGAAAUUUCUUUCUUUUUUUUCUUUUAAGAUUGUGCUGGUUUUCGGGUUGGGGAUUUAGCUCAGCGGUAGAGCGCUUGCCUAGCAAGCGCAAGGCCCUGGGUUCGGUCCCCAGCUCCAAAAAAAAGAAAAGAAAAAAAAAAAAAAGAUUGUGAUGGUUUUCAUAGGCUCGUCCCAGGGAGUGGCACUGUUAGAAGCUGUGGCCUUGUUUGAGGAAGUGUGUCACUCACUGUGGGGUGGGCUUGGAGACCCUCCUCCUAGCUGCUUGAGGAUGCUCAGUCUGUUCCUGGCUUCCUUUGGGUGAAAAUGUAGAACUCUCAGCUCCUCCUGCACCAUGCCUGCCUGGAUGCCGCCAUGCUCCUGCCCUGAUGAUAAUGGACUGAACCUCUGAACCUGUAGACCAGCCCCAGUUAAAUGUUGUCUUUUAUAAAACUUACUUUGGUUGUGGAGUCUGUUCACAGCAAUAAGACCCUAACUAAGACAAAGAUUUUUUUAUUAUAUGUGAGUACACUGUAGCUGUCCCCAUGCACACCAGAAGAGGGCGUCAGAUCCCCAUUGCUGGGAUUUGAACUCACGACCUCUGGAAGAAUAGUCAGUGCUCUUAAAUACUGAGCUAUCUCUCCAGCCCGUGGAAAUUUUUAGAGUCUGGUCCGUGUGUGUGUGUGUGUGUGUGUGUGUGUGUGUGUGUGUGUGUGUGUGUGUGUGUGUGUGUAUACACAUGGGUGCAGUAUCUGCAGGAGCCAGGAGAGGGCGCUCUGGAUUCUGAAGCUGGAGUCACAGGCUCUUGUGUUAACAGUGCUGGUGCUGGGAAGCCACUUCCGUGCUCUGCAAGAGCAGGAGACGCUCAGCUGAGGAGCCUCCUCUCCCGCCUGUUAUUUACUUAUUUAUAGACAACUCCACAUGUAGGCUUGGCUGGCCUAGCAUUCAAUGUGUAUACCAGACUGGCCUCAAACUUGCAGCAAUCCUCCUGCUUUGAGCUUAAAGGCAAGCACUACGGCAACCAGCCUAUUUAUUUCCGAGUGUUUAUGUGAUGUGCAUGUGUAUAUGCCUGUGUGGUUAUAUGCACACUGUAUCUGUGUUUGCAUAUGUGUGUUCCCAUUUAACCCAGACCUUGCUGAUCCAGUGAGUCUUGCUAGCCAGCUCUGUAGUGAGAAUUCUGGAAUUUUGAUUUCUUUUAAAAAAAACAGAAAUAUCCUAACAACAUGCUUUUAUUUUAUUCGCGGGUGUGGGGACGUCAUGGGCUGUCUCUGACUGUCCGAAGCAGCUGACUAUGAUCUGCCUCAUGCCAUAGCAGAGGCGUGAUUUUGCCAGCUGCAGAUAGUUUCCCUGUGAUUGUGUGACAUUUGGAAUUCUGAGAACUUUUCAGAGGGUAAAUAAAUGCUAGGGUUCCCGAGAGGUGGGGUUGGUGGCUGUUGGUCAUUGUUGGGCAAAGUAGGGAGGGUUGUUUGUGGUUUGUUAGUAGUUAUGCUCAAAGAAGAAACAAGAGGAAAGAAAUUAGAUUCAACGAUCUAAUUUCUCUUCCCGCUAUCCUUUCUCUCCUGUUGGGGCUAGAUUACAGGGUCAGAGGUUCAGCCCAUUAUCAUCAAGGCAGAAAUAUGGCAGCACCCAGGCAGGCAUGGUGCAGGAGCUGAGAGUUCUACUUCUUCACCUGAAGACUGUAGGUUUGAUGCCGAGGCGAUAGAUGAUUGGACAGUAGAGAGUGGGGCGGGACAAAGGUUUGUAAGGCGGGAGAGAGGAGGAAGGGGGGGGAUCAAGAUGGAGUCUACAUAGGAGGAUAGUUAGGAUUUAGGUGAACUAGAUCGAUUUUAUCUUGUCUGGAUGGGCGGUUUUUAUCUUUAUCAAUUGGCAGUGAACCUAUUGUGUGGAUGAAUUGUGGAUUGAGACUUUAACGUGCAAAUCUGAUUGCUAAAUUACAAGUUUCUGGAACUUUGAUUUUACCGGGCUAAAGAGGACAGGGUGUGAAAGAAAUGGCUGAGAGGCGGUUGGAGCGUUUGGAUCCGGUUCUGUUUGCCUGAGCAGAGUGAGAACUCGCAGAGCCCGCAGACCUCCUAGGGGACUGCAUGGAGAGGGCGGCUAAAAGGGAGACAACCAGGAGUGGGCGGCUUGCAGACUGCGCCGUGGCAGAGUAGCAGCUGAAGCGAGCGGAUCCAGCUCUUGGGAACUGAUAGAAAAUGUUCCUCUUUAAUUUUUACCACCACUGAAGACCACUAGGAGAAGACUGGCUUCCAGGCAGCUAGGACUAGGGUCUUAAAGGCCACGCCCACAGUGACACACUUCCUCCAACAAGGCCACACCUACUUUAACAAGGCCCCAUCUCCGAACAGUGCCACUCCCUGAGUCUAGCAUAUUCAAACCACCACAACAAUACAGAUCUGAUGUUUAGUCCUCACCUUUGUGUGGCAAGUGUUUACCCAUGAACCUUCUCUCUAGCUCCUCUCUCUCUUUGCCCUGCUGUCCUUGCCUUGGGUUUUGUUUUGUUCGUAGGAGGCCAUGUUGAUGCUGGUGGCCCAUCCGUGUCAAGGAUCCUAGUGGUAACAGCCAGGUUAGUUAGCCUUCACAACCAUGUGGGUAGCCUGAGGUAACAGGAAAAAGAGGCUGAGCCUGCUCACUGUUUUUGACUUCAGGUCAGUGGUUGGGCAGUGUGACCAAAACCGGUCGCCUAGUACUGAGGUGUGGAAAAGGAGGAAGAAAAGGAAGGUACUGAGUGCAUCAGUCUCCCCUGACUUCGCACUGCCAAUGACCCAUGUGACCCCCCCCUCUAGGCUCCGCCCCUUAAGGGUUCCACAGCUUUCCAGCAGUGCCAGGGAACCAAACCACAGCCCAGCCUUUCUUUGGUUCUGUCUCCAGUCCCUCACCUUGGUGUUUAUUCUGGCGUUCUGUUGAAAUGUUCUCUCAGAAACUCCAUGGUGGAGCGCAUCGGGACUAGCUAGCAAUGUGAAAGUCCCCUUAUUCUGGGUUGCGCCAACAACUCAUCAAAGUGCAGUCGGCAGCCUGAGACCCAGACCCGAACGUACCGUGUUCCCACCCCACCCCAUCUGACUCCUGAUGCUAGCCUCUGUUUCUACCAGAUCAACUUAUAGGAACGCAUGGAGGGGAGGUGGGAAUAGUUUUUUGAUUGACGAUUGACGUAAGAGAUACUACCCCUGGGCAGGUGGUCCUGGGUUAUAUAGAAAGGCGGGGUGAGCAAGCCAGUAAGCAACACCCCUCCCUGGCCUCUGUAGGAUGCCAGGAAAUGGGAUUGGGGACCCUUAGGCUCCAAGAGUCUCAAGGAGAGGCCUGUAGUUUAAAGCAUGUCCACCAGGAGGCGCACCGCCCUUUGUGUUGGUAUGGCAGCCUGCUCUUCUGCUUCUGUGGGCCUAGCAGAACUCUUCCAUUCACGCAAGCUCUGCAGGGGGGCUUCUAGACCCUGGAGGGUUGGCUCCGUGACCAGAAGCUUAGUGGGUGAGGCGAGCGAUAGCCGCAUGUCAGAAACUUCUGUGCCCUCUGUCCCCAACUCGGCUGGUCAUAUGAGGUUGAAGAGAAACUUCAAGGUAUGACAUGUUCGUCUACUUAAUGAAUAUUUCUUGUGCACCCGCCAUGCACUAGGCAUUGUUCUAGACGGUGAGGGCAUAGAGGGACUCCAGCGCUGGGGAGGCCGAGGAGGCAAGAGUUUGAGACCAGCCUGUACAACAUAUGGAGCCCCUAUUUCAAAACCACAGCAACGAGAACUAGAAAGAAAGUGGGGACCAGAGAGGCCACCAAGAAGGAACGAAAAAUCAAGUUCAGAUUGUACUGGGAGCAGUAGUGAGCUCUAGGAAGGAAAUGCCAUGAGGCUAAGUGUCAGAGCGGGUCACGUGUAUACCACGUGCCCUAAGAGGUGUGAAGCUCUGUAAAUGCCACCAACACCAACUCUUCCUGCAGUCCCCUCCUACCUGGCCUGUGGUUCCCCCACAAGUGACAGGUGCUGUUGUUCGUUUCCACAGCAACCAGUCAAACAUGGUCCUACCGAGUGUGCACUGUGGUCAGAAAGGCUGGGAGUAACAGACCAUUGUUGGGGUUGGGGAUUUAGCUCAGUGGUAGAGCGCUUGCCUAGCAAGCGCAAGGCCCUGGGUUCGGUCCCCAGCUCCAAAAAAAAAAAAGAAAAAAGAAAAAGAAGAAGAAGAAAGAAAAGAAAAAAAAAGAGAGAGACCAUUGUCCCUCGCCAAGUUUCCCUUCCCCUUCCCAGUGGGAAAUCAUAUAAUAGGCCAAGAACUAUCUUGAACUGUCCUGCAGAUCUGGACCUAUAAAAACGGCCACUUGGAUUGCUCAGUGGUUAGAUCACUGUCUGCUCUUCCAGAGGUCCUGAGUUCAAUUCCCAGCAACCACAUGGUGGCUCACGACCAUCUGUAAUGGGAUCUGAUGCCCUCUUCUGGUGUGUCUGAAGACAGCAAUAGUGUACUCAUAUACAUGAAAUAAAUAAAUCUUUAAAAAAAAAUUAAAAAAAAAUCAGCACUUGAGAGACGGAGGCAGGUGGGUUGCGUAUUUGAAGCCAGCCUGGGCUACAUACAGAGGUACAGAGAGAGUUUCAGACAAAACAAAACAAAAAACUCUCGGGCAGGGUAUGUAACUCACUGGGGCCUUGUCUGUCUCCUGCACGCUCGGCACAAGAAUAACUUGACAAAGGCAGUUUCUCAGCUUGUUAACCCGACUGAAGUUCCAAUUCAGGAAACGCAGAGCCGGGGGAUAGAGCACCUGGAAAGUCCCCUGGCUUUGGUUGUGACCCUUGAGAUCCCAGCAUUUCUGAGCAAGACACCAUUUCCCAGUAAGGCCAAGUUCAGGUUCUCAGGCUAGGUAGCUUGGAGUGCCAGUCAGAGCUCUGGGGUGGAGGAUUGUUGUGGUCAGCAUGUGGCGUGUGAAUCACCAGAAAGCCUCUGAGAUACCUGACUAUCAACACCCCCCAGCCCCGGCAUCAGGGGUCCCCAGAUAGGGGAAGAUCAGAGCCACCAAUGCAGUUUGAGGGGUCCAGCGUCCUGCAGUCACCCAGGACCUUUGCAAACUUCAGAACGGACCUGCCUACCCCCAACGUCUUUGAACAAGAAAGCGAUUUACGUUAAAGUUAUAUUUUCAGGGCAGAUGGUGACUCACCCGGAUCUUAUCAGUCACGCAGUGAGAGAAAGGACUUUGACAACAGGGCUGACCUGAACCCAGGGCAGGAGGUCCCCGUUGAAACGGAGAAACGGGGGCUGGAGAGAUGGCUCAGUGGUUAAGAGCACCCGACUGCUCUUCCAGAGGUCCUGAGUUCAAUUCCCAGCAACCGCAUGGUGGCUCACAACCAUCUGUAAAGAGAUCUGAUGCCCUCUUCUGGUGUGUCUGAAGACAGCUACAGCGUACUUAUAUAUAUAUAUAAUAAAUAAAUAAAUCUUUAAAAAAAAAGAAAAAAAGGGCUGGAGAGGUGGCUCAGUGGUUAAGAGCACUGACUGCUCUUCCAGAGGUCCUGAGUUCAAUUCCCAGCAACCGCAUGGUGGCUCACAACCAUCUGUAUCAGAUUCUGGUGUAUCUGAAGACAUCUGCAGUGUACUCAUAUACAAUAAAUGAAUAAAAUAUUUAAAAAAAAAAAGAAACGGAGAAACGGGGCUUGGUUGGUAGUACUGAAAGACCCCAGCUUAGCAGCAGUAACGCCAUUUUGCAAGGCUGUACUUAAGAUGACUGGUUCAGGGAAAGGUUAGAACACUGAGUACACAGCGGCUGCCAAACAAGAUGUGUUUGGUUGAAGGCCUGGCAACAGGAGGACUGCCGUUGGGCACCUGACAAUGAGAAAAGCCCCGGGAGAGGUCCCACACCCUGGUGGGGGGCCGAGUCAGCCGUUAUGUUCCAAGAAGGUAGCUAAGAAACUUGCCCCCAGGCUGAACCCUUGGGGGGCCGAGUCAGUCCUUAUGUUUCAGGAAGGUAGCUAGGAAACUUGCCCCCGGGCUAAACCCUUGCCAUAUUAGAAUCCACCAAUUAUAUCCCUGUAACCAUGCAUCUGCUUCUGUAUGCUUGCUUCUGCUCCCCAAAAUCCUAUAAAAGCCCAUCCUUGGUUCCGUGGGGCGCGCCAGUCCCCCGAGUGACUGAAGCGCCCGCAGGUGCCUGUGCCUGUGUAUCCCGACAAUAAACCAAAUCCUCUUGCUGAUUGCAUCCUGUGGUGUCUCGGUCUGGUCUUUGGAGUUGGAGGGUCUCCAUCCCGAGGGAAAGUUCUCCCUGAGAGCUUUUCAUUUGGUGCGUUGGCCGGGAAAGGAGAUCCUCCACCCAGGGACCACCGACCACCCACUGGGAGGUAAGCCGGCCGGCGUCUGUCUGUCUGUCUGAUUUUGUCUCGUUCUGCCUUAUUCUGUCUGUUCUGUGAGCGCUCAGCCAGGUCUGUUCUGUGAGCGCUCAGCCAGGUCUGUUCUGUGAGCGCUCAGCCAGGUUGUUUGGAAUUUGGGCGGGACGAAGAAGGAGCUGACGAGCUCGGACUUCUCGCCCCGCAGCCCUGGAAGACGUUCCAAGGGUGUUGGGGCCCGACUUUUCGAGGCCCAAUCUGGGAGAGGAGAAAGAUCCGGACUAACGGCACCUCUGUCUGUAUUUUUGGCUUUCAGAGGGCCCCGGACCUUUGCCACCUCCAUCUGACUUUUUGCUUUCAGUUUGGUACCAAAGCCGUGCAGCACGCCUGUCUGUUGUUUGUUUGACUGUUGGUGUUGUUUGUUUUCUCUGUGUUCUAAUCUUCCUUAGAACUAACAUGGGACAGUCCCUAACAACGCCCCUAAGUCUCACUCUUGAUCAUUAGAAAGACGUCCACGACCGGGCACACAACCAGUCCGUCGAGGUUAAAAAAAAAAAAAGAAAAUGACAGACUCUCUACACAUCCGAGUGGCCCACUUUCGGAGCGGGAUGGCCAGUGAAUGGCACAUUUAAUAAGAUCAUUAUUUUACAGGUUAAAGAUCGGGUCGUCCACGGACAUCCUGACCAGGUUUCUUAUAUUAUCACUUGAGAGAGUCUUGCCUUAACACCCCCCCCGGGCGGAACCCUUCGUGGACCCGAAUUGGCCUCCCCUCAACCCCCAGCCUGUCCCCUCGGCCCCGCCCGGUCUGCCGGCCACGUCUUAAGAAACCUGUCCUCCCGACAGACCCAAACUCCCCUCUCAUAGAUCUUCUCUCUGACAGGCCCGGCUGAAACGGAGGAGGCAGAGCCGCCGGCCAGAUCAGUUGCCAGAUCAGUCUGAUAAGGGUUUCUCCCCUGUCGCAGGGAGAUUGCGCAAUAAGCGCGAGGUGAUGCCAGAUUCAACCUCCCAGGCUUUCCCACUUAGACAGGGAACUGGUGGCCAGACCCAAUACUGGCCGUUUUCAACAGCUGACAUUUACAAUUAGAAACAACACAACCCUUCUUUCUCCAAAGAUCCGGUGGCACUCACCGACCUAAUAGAAUCUGUUUUACUUACCAGCCUACUUGGGAUGACUGCCAACAGCUCUUACAGGCCCUCUUAACCUCAGAAAAAAAAAAAAAAAAAACAAGGAGUGUUCCUAGAGGCCAGAAAACAUGUUCUGGGAGAUGAUGGGCGUCCCACCCAGCUGCCUGAGGACCAAACUGAGAUUUUAAUACAGCUGAAGGUAAGGGACACCUACGCCUUUAUCGCCAGUUGCUUCUAGCGGGUCUCCGAGGGGCUAUACGACGCCCUACUAAUUUGGCUCAGGUAAAACAGGUAUUACAGGAAGCAGGAGAAACUCCCUCCGCCUUUCUAGAGAGAUUUAAGGAGGCCUACCGUAUGUACACUCCCUAUGACCCAGAUGACCCAGGACAAAUGACGAGUGUCUCUAUGUCCUUCAUCUGGCAGGCUGCUCCAGAUAUCAGGACUAAGUUACAGAGGUUAGAAAAUUUGCAGGGCUAUACAUUACAGGAUUUACUUAAAGAAGCUAAAAGGAUUUUUAAUAAAAAAAAAGAUAAAAAAAAACAAACAAACAAAAAAUUGAGUCGAAUCUUGGCCGCCGUAGUACAGGGCCAAAAAAAGGAAGGGAGAUAGGGGGGAGCUCGAAAGGGGCUGAAGCUGGAUAAAGAUCAAUGUGCCUAUUACAAAGAGAAAGGGCACUGGGCCAGAGAGUGCCCCAAGAAGCCUGGUGGACCCCGAAAGCCUCGACCACGAACCUCCCUCUUGGCUCUAGAUAAAGAUUAGGGAGGUCAGGGCCAGGAGCCCCCCCCCUGAGCCCAGGGUAACGCUUAAAGUUGGGGGGCAGCCGGUUACUUUCCUGGUAGACACAGGAGCCCAGCAUUCAGUCCUCACCCAAGCUUCAGGACAACUCAGCGACCGGACGGCCUGGGUACAAAGAGCUACUGGUGAGAAACAAUACCGAUGGACUACGGACCGCCGGGUUCAGCUGGCUACCGGUAAGGUGACCCAUUCCUUCUUACAUGUUCCGGACUGCCCGUACCCUCUGCUGGGCCAUGAUCUUCUCACCAAACUAAAAGCACAAAUUCAUUUUGAGAAAGGAGGGGCCCAAAUAACUGGCCCCCACGGAACUCCCCUUCAAUUUCUAUGAAUAUAGACUAUAUGAACUGGGACAGGACAAGCCACAAUCCCUAGAAAUAGACACUUGGGUCACGAAUUUUCCACUGGGGUUGGGCAGAGACUGGUGGGAUGGGGUUGGCGCUCCAACAGCCCCCCUUAAUUACACAGUUAAAGGCCACUACAACUCCAGUCUCCAUAAAACAAUACCCCCUGUCACAUGAAGCUUAUCAAGGUAUAAGGCCUCACAUUACGAGGCUUCUAGAUCAAGGCAUCCUAAUCCCCUGCCGGUCGCCUUGGAAAACGCCUCUUCUGCCUGUUAAGAAACCCGGCACUGGAGAUUAUAGGCCAGUACAAGACUUGAGAAAGGUCAACAAGAGGAUAGAAGAUAUUCAUCCGACUGUUCCAAACCCUUACAAUUUGCUCAGUAACUGUUCAUCGAUGAGAAACAGGGGUAUACUAAAGGGGUCCUAACACAAAGGUUGGGACCCUGGAAACGCCCUGUGGCCUACCUGUCUAAGAAAUUGGACCCUGUGGCCUCCGGCUGGCCACCGUGCCUAAGGAUGGUGGCUGCUAUUGCUGUCCUGAUCAAGGAUGCUGGAAAAUUGACUUUGGGACAGCCACUCACCAUCCUAGCACCCCAUGCAGUGGAGGCCUUGGUAAAGCAGCCCCCAGACCGCUGGCUCUCUAAUUCUCACACCAAGCCUUGUUACUGGAUGCAGAACGGGUUCAGUUUGGGCCCGUAGUCGCCCUCAAUCCUGCCACCUUGCUUCCUCUACCUGAGGAGGCAGAACAGCAUGACUGCCUAAGUACAUGGAACCAGGCCGGACCUAUCGGACCAGCCUCUUCAGAAUGCUGACCACACAUGGUACACGGAUGACAACAGCUUCUUGACAGAGGGAGAGCGAAAGGCUGGAGCUGCGGUCACUACGGAGGACAAAGUGAUUUGGGCGAAAGCCCUGCCUGCUGGUACCUCCGCACAACGGGCUGAACUCAUCGCCUUGACUCAGGCGCUCAAGAUGACAAAAGGUAAGAGGCUAAAUAUAUAUACAGACAGCCGUUAUGCCUUUGCCACGACACACAUCCACGGGGAGAUCUACCGGAGGCGGGGGCUGCUCACAUCUGAGGGUAAAGAUAUGGCUAAAAUUCUGGCCCUCUUAGAAGCCCUAUUCUUGCCCAAAAGACUGAGUAUUAUACAUUGUCCAGGACACCAGAAAGGGCACAACCCAGAGGCACGAAGAAACCGGCUGGCCGAUGCCACGGCGCGAGAAGCGGCCAUGAGCAAACAAAUCUUGCCCUUAAAUAGCCCAGACCAACCCACGCCCCCACCAGUGGGACAAACCAGUUGGGUUUACGCCCAUGAGGACAUAGAGCUCCUAAAAAAAAUGGGGGCCAUCUACCACCCUCAACUAAAACAGUGGGUCUACAAAGGACUUUUAAAUUGAUCUCCUUUUUACAUAAGAAGAUAAAAACCUUACUAGAUCGAGAAGAGAUAAAUCUGUGUUUUUUUUUAAAUUGGGACAAAGCGAUACAAAAGGUGACUGAGAGUUACAAAGCGUGCGCUCAGGUUAACCCGGGAAGGACCAGGAUUGGACAAGGAGUUCGUCCUAGGGGACACCGUCCCGACAUCCAUUGGGAAAUUGAUUUUACUGAAAUUAAACCAGGUAUAUAUGGAUACAAGUAUCUCCUAGUGUUUGUAGACACCUUCUCAAGAUGGGUCGAAGCCUUCCCCACAAAGCACGAGACUACAAAAAUGGUCACCAAGAAGCUCCUCGAGGAAAUCUUUCCCAGGUAUGACAUGCCUCAAGCGUUGGGGUCGGACAACGGGCCCGCUUUCGUCUCCCAAGUAAGUCAGUUGGUGGCCAAAUUGCUGGGGAUUGAUUGGAAAUUACAUUGUGCCUAUAGACCCCAGAGUUCAGGUCAGGUAGAACGCAUGAAUAGAACAAUUAAGGAGACUUUAUCCAAACUUACGCUUGCAACUGGCUCAAAGGAUUGGGUGGCCCUCCUUCCCCUAGUUCUAUAUCGGGCCCGGAAUACCCCGGGCCCCCAUGGUCUAACUCCUUUUGAAAUAAUAUAUGGAACACCACCCCCAUUUGUCCAUUUCUUUGAUUCAAACAUUGCUGAUUUUGCUGACAGCCCUUCUCUGAGGGCCCAUUUAUAGGCCCUACAGAUUGUACAGAGACGUCUGGAGACCUUUGGCCGCUGCUUACCAGGACAAGCUUGAACAUCCGGUGGUGCCACACCUGUUCCAGAUUGGAGACACCGUGUGGGUACACAGACACCAGACCAAGAAUCUCGAGCCACGGUGAAAAGGACCCUACACCGUCCUCCUGACUACCCCGACCGCCCUAAAGGUAGACGGAGUCUCGGCUUAGAUCCACACACCACACGUCAAGGCAGUCCGGUCUGAGGAAUUGACUAAUCACAACACUACACCCCAGACAUGGAGAGUUCAGCGCACUCCAAACCCCUUAAAGUUAAAACUCCUACGUGGCUCCUCCUAGCCCUUUUGUGGCCUAGAGUCAGUGGGGAAUAAGCCCCCACCAGACAGAAAUUUCUUGACCAAGUCGAGUGAAAGAUUUCACUCAAAGUUAGCAAAAAAAAAAAAUGGGGGAAUGAAAGACCCCAGCUUAGCAGCAGUAACGCCAUUUUGCAAGGCUGUACUUAAGAUGACUGGUUCAGGGAAAGGUUAGAACACUGAGUACACAGCGGCUGCCAAACAAGAUGUGUUUGGUUGAAGGCCUGGCAACAGGAGGACUGCCGUUGGGCACCUGACAAUGAGAAAAGCCCCGGGAGAGGUCCCACACCCUGGUGGGGGGCCGAGUCAGCCGUUAUGUUCCAAGAAGGUAGCUAAGAAACUUGCCCCCAGGCUGAACCCUUGGGGGGCCGAGUCAGUCCUUAUGUUUCAGGAAGGUAGCUAGGAAACUUGCCCCCGGGCUAAACCCUUGCCAUAUUAGAAUCCACCAAUUAUAUCCCUGUAACCAUGCAUCUGCUUCUGUAUGCUUGCUUCUGCUCCCCAAAAUCCUAUAAAAGCCCAUCCUUGGUUCCGUGGGGCGCGCCAGUCCCCCGAGUGACUGAAGCGCCCGCAGGUGCCUGUGCCUGUGUAUCCCGACAAUAAACCAAAUCCUCUUGCUGAUUGCA